rnacentral:rRNA from 1 species
UACGUAGGGGGCUAGCGUUGUUCGGAAUCACUGGGCGUAAAGGGUGCGUAGGCGGGUCUUUAAGUCAGGGGUGAAAUCCUGGAGCUCAACUCCAGAACUGCCUUUGAUACUGAGGAUCUUGAGUUCGGGAGAGGUAAGUGGAACUGCGAGUGUAGAGGUGAAAUUCGUAGAUAUUCGCAAGAACACCAGUGGCGAAGGCGGCUCACUGGCCCGAUACUGACGCUGAGGCACGAAAGCGUGGGGAGCAAACAGG